ensembl:lncRNA
AUGAGGAUUUCAUGUGCAUACCCUCAACAGAAAGAUGGAAUCUUCAUGAGGAGGAGGAGGAGGGUUCAUGCCGCUAAAUACCCAACUAAGAUCGGCUUGUGCCGUUCUAAAAAUGAUCCUGCCACCAACCACCCGAGGAACCGACCACCGACCUGCCGUUCUGAAAAAGGAACCUUCCACAGACCACUUUUUGCACCCGGCGUCACUCUGAUUUUUGUCAUCUGCUGGUGCAUCGCAGAGAAAACCAACAAGGGGGCCAAACGAGUUGGCGUGAAUAGCAACAAAAGGGUCCGCGUCUCUGUUGCUGAUUUUGAAGUGGGCGCGUCCAUCACCACCAACCUGGAUCUGCUUCCCGGUGCAGCUGCUUCCCUUCUUCUCACCAGAAAUGACAUCACAGUAGGUGCCUCCUGGCAUGCCAGUGUUAAGGGUCACGUCCAGGUUCCUGAAGGGGAACACAAGGUAAAUAUUAUAAAUAUAUAUAUAGAAAUAUAGAAGGGGGCUGUUUUUUGGAAUAGGAGUAACCAAACAUACAAUUUUUUUUAAAUGUUCUAACAUUCGUUGUAGGUUUUAUGUUCACCUGUAUGCUUCUAAUUGGUUAGCCGUUUGUAGGUCGUACAAGCAAUGCAAUUUUAAAGCCAACAGUAUAUUUAAAGAUAAAUAAUCCAAUAAACUAUGGUUGAUUGUUCAUGACAGUUAGAUGAACGGCAGUCAGUUUCGUUAGUUUAAUCUGGCGACUAAUUGAUAUAGCGGGUGAAUCCGUAUUCUGUCAGUAGUACUCAGCAAAUAAUUGUUACCAGUCAUCAUUGUUGAAGACGAUAAAACCACGGUUACCACGUCCAAAGGCAACCUGGUUGCUCUGGUUGUCCCACCAGUUGGAAUGAGGCUGUCCGUUGACCACGUUGCGGAAAAUAACCAUGUUCCUAAAGGAGUGAGAUGGAGAAAAUCCAAUCAUAGCGUCUAACAUAGAUCUUUUUUCCAUCCACAUGACCCAGCAGACAUGUCUUGUGUUCUGAGUGUGAGAUCAAUAGUUCUCAAUAGGUCUCUGGCUUUCUGAGGACUCACUUGAUCUGACGCCAUCUGUGCUCACACACCCAUCCAUCUCCACAAGUGUUACGCACGUACAGCACCCCGUGAG